UCUUUACUCCCUCCGUCUAACAAAACAUGUCUCAAGUUUGUCAAAAUUUGGAUGUAUCUAGACAUGACUUAGUGCAUAGAUCCAUUCAAAUUUGAUCAAAGUUGAGACAUCUUUCGUUGGACGGAGAGAGGGAGUAUAUA
rfam:Brachypodium distachyon strain Bd21 chromosome 3, whole genome shotgun sequence.